UUAACAUCACAUGCAAAUGUUGCGACGUUAACAAUCAGAUUAUAACGACUUAAUGAAGGUAAAUGCAAAGGAAUCCAUGGUGUGACCCCGUAUUUUUAUACUUGUUUUGUAAUAGUUAUAUUAUGUAAGUUUAUAAACAAAAUUAUUUUAAAAUAUUUUUUUAUUAAAUAUAUUUUAUUUUCCACUUAUUGACCCUACCUUAGAAGGGUCAAAAGCUAAUCCCUAAAUUUCCUAGGUUAACUACCCAAUUACACAUUAUGUCGCUAUUAUAAAGGAGGGAGAAGGAAAAAAAAGAAAAAAAGUGGAAAAAGGUCAGGUGUUUCCCCGCAGCUUGCUUUCCUUUUUUUCAUUCAUUCUUUCUUCUAUUUUUUUCCUUCCUUCUUUUGUCGUUCUUUUUCUUCUCCAACACACCGUUACAUCUUUAAAUUUGUUAUCAUUUAUUAUUACACAUCAAUCUUUAGUGACCCAUCUUCAACAUCUCCUGGUUUUGUGGGUAUUUCAAAGACGAAAAUUUGGAUUUAUGGGCUUGGGUUUUUGGUCGAAAAUCAGAGCAAAGUAGGAAUUUUCGGGUCUCUUAUUGUGUAAUUUACCUCCUCCAUUCAAGUGAAUUAUGUGAAGUAUAGUCAAGUGACUAUUAUAUCGUAGAUUGCGGGUUCGUAGAAGAGCCUUUUCACUUGAGAUUAAGAUAUAUUGAUUGUGGUUGCUGAUAAGGGACUUGAAGAUAGUUAGCUUUCGGUUGGGUCAAAGAGUGUGUUGGACCUUUUUUGAUUUAACAAGACUUUAAUAAGACUUUCGUUGUUAUUUAUUUGACUAUAGGAUUUAUAUUCUGGUUUGUAAUAAUUAAUUACUCUCUAUCGAGCUAGUCUAUAAUAAUUAUUUAGAACUUAUUGUUUUUUUUUUUUAAUUACAACCAUUAGCCUCGUGGUUAUCAUUAUUAAUUAUCGCGACGUAACACCUUUGAAU